GAUGAACGCUGGCGGCGUGCCUAACACAUGCAAGUCGAACGGAGAUUACGGACGGAAGUUUUCGGAUGGAAGCCUGUAAUUCUUAGUGGCGGACGGGUGAGUAACGCGUGGGCAACCUGCCCUAUACUGGGGGAUAGCAGCUGGAAACGGCUGGUAAGACCGCAUAAGUCGGUUAAAUCGCAUGAUUUGAUCGGGAAAUGAGCAAUCAGGUAUAGGAUGGGCCCGCGUCCGAUUAGCCAGUUGGCAGGGUAAAAGCCUACCAAAGCGACGAUCGGUAGCCGGACUGAGAGGUCGGACGGCCACAUUGGGACUGAGACACGGCCCAAACUCCUACGGGAGGCAGCAGUGGGGGAUAUUGCACAAUGGAGGAAACUCUGAUGCAGCGACGCCGCGUGAGUGAAGAAGUAUUUCGGUAUGUAAAGCUCUAUCAGCAGGGAAGAUGAUGACGGUACCUGACGAAGAAGCCCCGGCUAACUACGUG
rnacentral:rRNA from 1 species